GAUGAACGCUAGCUACAGGCUUAACACAUGCAAGUCGAGGGGCAGCAGGAUCUAGCAAUAGAUUGCUGGCGACCGGCGCACGGGUGAGUAACACGUAUCCAACCUGCCGAUAACUCGGGGAUAGCCUUUCGAAAGAAAGAUUAAUACCCGAUAGUAUAAUCAGACCGCAUGGUUUGAUUAUUAAAGAAUUUCGGUUAUCGAUGGGGAUGCGUUCCAUUAGGCAGUUGGUGAGGUAACGGCUCACCAAACCUUCGAUGGAUAGGGGUUCUGAGAGGAAGGUCCCCCACAUUGGAACUGAGACACGGUCCAAACUCCUACGGGAGGCAGCAGUGAGGAAUAUUGGUCAAUGGACGCGAGUCUGAACCAGCCAAGUAGCGUGAAGGAUGACUGCCCUAUGGGUAGUAAACUUCUUUUAUAUGGGAAUAAAGUUUUCCACGUGUGGAAUUUUGUAUGUACCAUAUGAAUAAGGAUCGGCUAACUCCGUGCCAGCAGCCGCGGUAAUACGGAGGAUCCGAGCGUUAUCCGGAUUUAUUGGGUUUAAAGGGAGCGUAGGUGGACAGUUAAGUCAGUUGUGAAAGUUUGCGGCUCAACCGUAAAAUUGCAGUUGAUACUGGCUGUCUUGAGUACAGUAGAGGUGGGCGGAAUUCGUGGUGUAGCGGUGAAAUGCUUAGAUAUCACGAAGAACUCCGAUUGCGAAGGCAGCUCACUGGACUGCAACUGACACUGAUGCUCGAAAGUGUGGGUAUCAAACAGGAUUAGAUACCCUGGUAGUCCACACAGUAAACGAUGAAUACUCGCUGUUUGCGAUAUACAGUAAGCGGCCAAGCGAAAGCAUUAAGUAUUCCACCUGGGGAGUACGCCGGCAACGGUGAAACUCAAAGGAAUUGACGGGGGCCCGCACAAGCGGAGGAACAUGUGGUUUAAUUCGAUGAUACGCGAGGAACCUUACCCGGGCUUAAAUUGCAUUUGAAUAUAUUGGAAACAGUAUAGCCGUAAGGCAAAUGUGAAGGUGCUGCAUGGUUGUCGUCAGCUCGUGCCGUGAGGUGUCGGCUUAAGUGCCAUAACGAGCGCAACCCUUAUCUUUAGUUACUAACAGGUCAUGCUGAGGACUCUAGAGAGACUGCCGUCGUAAGAUGUGAGGAAGGUGGGGAUGACGUCAAAUCAGCACGGCCCUUACGUCCGGGGCUACACACGUGUUACAAUGGGGGGUACAGAAGGCAGCUACCUGGUGACAGGAUGCUAAUCCCAAAAGCCUCUCUCAGUUCGGAUCGAAGUCUGCAACCCGACUUCGUGAAGCUGGAUUCGCUAGUAAUCGCGCAUCAGCCAUGGCGCGGUGAAUACGUUCCCGGGCCUUGUACACACCGCCCGUCAAGCCAUGAAAGCCGGGGGUACCUGAAGUACGUAACCGCAAGGAGCGUCCUAGGGUAAAACUGGU
rnacentral:rRNA from 1 species